GCUCCCAUAGUGUAAUGGAUAACACGCUGCCCUCCGGAGGCAGAAAUUGGGGUUCGAAUCCCUAUGGGAGUACCA
rnacentral:tRNA from 1 species